rnacentral:rRNA from 1 species
ACGGGUGAGUAACGCGUGAGUAACCUGCCUUACACAAGGGGAUAGCCGUUGGAAACGACGAAUAAUACCCUAUGACAUAAACUCUUCGCAUGAGGAGCUUAUCAAAGAUUUAUCGGUGUAAGAUGGACUCGCGUCUGAUUAGCUAGUUGGUGAGGUAACGGCCCACCAAGGCGACGAUCAGUAGCCGGCUUGAGAGAGUGUACGGCCACAUUGGGACUGAGACACGGCCCAGACUCCUACGGGAGGCAGCAGGU